GAUGAACGCUGGCGGCGUGCCUAAUACAUGCAAGUCGAGCGAACAGACGAGGAGCUUGCUCCUCUGACGUUAGCGGCGGACGGGUGAGUAACACGUGGAUAACCUACCUAUAAGACUGGGAUAACUUCGGGAAACCGGAGCUAAUACCGGGUAAUUUAUUGAACCGCAUGGUUCAAUAGUGAAAGACGGUUUUGCUGUCACUUAUAGAUGGAUCCGCGCCGCAUUAGCUAGUUGGUAAGGUAACGGCUUACCAAGGCAACGAUGCGUAGCCGACCUGAGAGGGUGAUCGGCCACACUGGAACUGAGACACGGUCCAGACUCCUACGGGAGGCAGCAGUAGGGAAUCUUCCGCAAUGGGCGAAAGCCUGACGGAGCAACGCCGCGUGAGUGAUGAAGGUCUUCGGAUCGUAAAACUCUGUUAUUAGGGAAGAACAAAUGUGUAAGUAACUAUGCACGUCUUGACGGUACCUAAUCAGAAAGCCACGGCUAACUACGUG
rnacentral:rRNA from 1 species